UUGAACGCUGGCGGCAUGCUUUACACAUGCAAGUCGAACGGUAACAGGCCUUCGGGUGCUGACGAGUGGCGAACGGGUGAGUAAUGCAUCGGAACGUACCCAGAGGUGGGGGAUAACGCAGCGAAAGCUGUGCUAAUACCGCAUGUGAUCUGAGGAUGAAAGCGGGGGACCGAGCAGCAAUGUUUGGCCUCGCGCCUUUGGAGCGGCCGAUGUCGGAUUAGCUAGUUGGUGGGGUAAAGGCCUACCAAGGCGACGAUCCGUAGCUGGUCUGAGAGGACGACCAGCCACACUGGGACUGAGAAACGGCCCAGACUCCUACGGGAGGCAGCAGUGGGGAAUGUUGGACAAUGGGCGCAAGCCUGAUCCAGCAAUGCCGCGUGCGGGAAGAAGGCCUUCGGGUUGUAAACCGCUUUUGGCAGGAACGAAACGGUGUCCGCUAAUACCGGGCGCUAAUGACGGUACCUGCAGAAUAAGCACCGGCUAACUACGUG
rnacentral:rRNA from 1 species